rnacentral:rRNA from 1 species
UACGGGGGGGCAAGCGUUGUUCGGAAUUACUGGGCGUAAAGGGCUCGUAGGUGGCCACUAAGUCAGACGUGAAAAUCCCUCGGCUUAACCGGGGAACUGCGUCUGAUACUGGAUGGCUUGAGUGUGGGAGAGGGAUGCGGAAUUCCAGGUGUAGCGGUGAAAUGCGUAGAUAUCUGGAGGAACACCGGUGGCGAAGGCGGCAUCCUGGACCACGACUGACGCUGAGUGAGCGAAAGCGUGGGGAGCGAACGAGGA